GAUGAACGCUGGCGGCGUGCUUAACACAUGCAAGUCGAACGAAGCACUUUAUUUGAUUUCCUUCGGGACUGAUUAUUUUGUGACUGAGUGGCGGACGGGUGAGUAACGCGUGGGUAACCUGCCUUGUACAGGGGGAUAACAGUUGGAAACGGCUGCUAAUACCGCAUAAGCGCACGGCAUCGCAUGAUGCAGUGUGAAAAACUCGGGUGGUAUAAGAUGGACCCGCGUUGGAUUAGCUAGUUGGUGAGGUAACGGCCCACCAAGGCGACGAUCCAUAGCCGACCUGAGAGGGUGACCGGCCACAUUGGGACUGGGACGCGGCCCAGACUCCUACGGGAGGCAGCAGUGGGGAAUAUUGCACAAUGGGCGAAAGCCUGAUGCAGCGACGCCGCGUGAGCGAAGAAGUAGUUCGGUAUGUAAAGCUCUAUCAGCAGGGAAGAUAAUGACGGUACCUGACUAAGAAGCACCGGCUAAAUACGUG
rnacentral:rRNA from 1 species